AACGAACGCUGGCGGCACGCUUUAAGCAUGCAAGUCGAAUGGCAGCAGGGGCAACUCUGUGAGAAUGGCGAACGGGUGAGUAACACGUAGGUGAUCUGCCUUGAGGAUGGGGAUAGCCUGUGGAAACACAGGGUAAUACCGAAUAAGCUGACGGGACUUUGGUUUCGUUAGUAAAGGUGCUACGGCACCGCCUUGAGAGGAGCCUGCGGCUGAUUAGCUAGUUGGUGGGGUAAAGGCCUACCAAGGCGACGAUCAGUAGCCGGCCUGAGAGGGUGUACGGCCACACUGGGACUGGGACACGGCCCAGACUCCUACGGGAGGCAGCAGCUAAGAAUCUUCCGCAAUGGGCGAAAGCCUGACGGAGCGAUGCCGCGUGAUCGAUGAAGGUCGAGAGAUUGUAAAGAUCUUUUCUACAUGAGGAAUAAGUCUGGGAGGGAAUGCCUGGAUGAUGACGUUAGUGUAGGAAUAAGCCCCGGCUAAUUACGUGCCAGCCGCCGCCGUAA
rnacentral:rRNA from 1 species